CAGCCCAGCGCAUAACCUCCCGGGCUACCAAGCCUGCGGCGGAAUGUUGCGUAAAGGGAAAGGUCGUAUACAAGCCCUGCACUACAUGGCCUAAGUUUGGCUUGAAUUUCUCACUGUAUCCUAACGGCUACAACGGCUCCACAGAGGGUGUCAGACCCGUGAGGCUAUGUGAUUAAAUGUGCAUGGGUUCGGCUUUAUUCCCUGAGAGUCGCGUUGCUUGAGCAUGCAGCGCUAAGCAGGUCGUAAACUCGACCUAAGGCUAAAUAUAUUCACAGAACCGAUAGUAAACAAGUACCGUGAGGGAAAGUUGAAAAGUACUCUGAAGAGAGAGUCAAAAGACCGUGAAACCGCUUAGAGUAUAAGCCAAUGGUAUUCUGGAAUGCUGGAGUUGCCCUAGCAAAAUUGUACCCGAUUGUGGGUUACGUCAAACGGGUAUCGUGUGAGCGAGAGAACAUGAAGGCUGAUGGGCAAUCGAACCGAAAAGUGGAAUUGAGUUUAUACCACGGCACCCAAAUCUCGCGGGUCUCUGACAGUGGUAACAGGGAACGUUCGUGAGGAACUGAACCGAGGCUGGGCUUGAGCGAGCAUCAGUUUCUAAGCCCACUAACGAUAAACUUUCUAUACAGCACACCACAAUCCUUUAUAAGGUCUCCCUCGUGAGGUGUGGUCAUAGAGAGAGUGAGAGAGAAAGAGAUUUAUGUCCCAACUUUCUCUCUCUGUCUGUGUUUGCGAGUUGUGUCGCGUUAUGUGCCCUCUUGUUGUAUGUGCGCUUUGGCAGCGUGCUCCAAGUCCCGUACACAUGUGUAUAUAACGGCUUUGGCUUGCCUGGGUAUAUGCAUUCGGGAAAUGUUGGUUGCAAGAGGGCCGGCCAACUUUGCACUGCACCGUUCCAGACACGAACGGAAUGAUCCUAUGUGAAGAUUGAUUCUGACCAGCCGAUACCGGGAGUCAUACUUUGGCAGAGUAUGGUGAGCUAACGCACGGGAGUCCCCCGGCGCCUGGUACAUUAGCCCCUCAUGUUGGUCUCUAAUGAGGGACAGGAUUGCAUAUGCAUCCUCGUUGUCCGUCCUGCUAGAUGACUGGCUUUGGGGUGUGCUGGGAUCACGUUGGGAGUUUAGUCAUACCGUCGGGUUCAGGCUGCUUGGUGCAUUAUUCCAGAACCAUUGGUCACGUCUCGAAACACGGGCCAAGGAGCAUAGCAUGUGCGCAAGUCUAAGGGAUAAGAAAUCCUGGAGGCGAAGUGAAAGCAAAUGGUGUGUUUAUGAGUGUGCUCCCUCACGGGGGUGCGCUUGUAUUCAGCCUGCGAUGAGCGUAAUUCCUACACCUGCGUGUGUGGAUGACUGCGUCUCGCGGCUUAUACUGUGUUGAUCCCGAAUCGUAAUCAAGCCAAAUUGGCGAUACGCUGGCGCAAACACCAGGCUCUCAUAUGUGGGUAUUUGUUUAUCCUCGAGAGCACUGUGGAGCGUGCAUGCUAUAACCCGAAAGAUAGUGAACUAUGCCUGGCGA
rnacentral:rRNA from 1 species